rnacentral:lncRNA from 1 species
AAAUGCUAAAACCAAGGUCCUAUAAUUCAUAUCUAAGCCAUAGAAGUGAUUUGGAAGGGUUUAAGGGCAUGAAAAACCCCAUUAACAUGAGUUUACGGCCCAAGCUUAUGCCUUGGCCGUAAACUCCUUCAAAGUCCUCAAAAUCAUAGUUUUAAGUGUUCUAAGUCCAUAUCUUGAAGUCCCUUAGCCAUAUCUAAAGUCCAAUUGAGUCUAGGAAGGAGUUUAAGGGCUAAAAACCCUUCAAAAUGGUGUUUACGGCCUAGGCAGCCUCCUGGGCCGUAAACUCACAUAUAUUGUCCAAUUUCAUGAUUAAGUGUCUAAUUUGGAAGCUAAACAUGCUAUAGAUUAAGGCUAGGAAGGUACCUUAAGGAUUUGAAGCCUUAAAUUUGAGUUUUGGACACUUAAUCUUUGGAUUUAGGAGAGAGGUUAGAGAGAGAGUAGAGAGAGAAGGAAAAAGCUUCAAAUGAGUGCUUAAACAUGUUUAUAUAGUUCCUAAAACUUGGACACGGUGGAAUUCUACCCGAUACCGGCCUUAAACGAAGCUUUGGGUCGCACCCGAUUGAGUUUCCGUCACCCGACGAGGAUAUUUCUAAAACUUAUGAAAUAAAUGUUUUGGGCUAAAUUCAUGAGUUCCUAAAUGAUUUGGACCCUCAUUGAAUGAUAAUAAACAUAUAAUUUUAGUUAACUAAACCCAAAAACGAUAUCGGGACAUUUCGAUCUCCGACGAGUUAUACGGGUAGAAUGGGUUUUCGGCGAUGAACAACUUCGGGUUGUUACAUUAUCCCCCCGUUAGAGGGAAUUUCGUCCCGAAAUUCAAAGAAUAAGAUACAGGUCAUGGAUUGGAAUGAAAUACGAAUGGAUUUGUUGCUUCGGAUCUUCACUUUCUCAAGUGGAAUCAGGUCUCUACUGGGCGUUCUAACGAAUUCUCAUUAUCGGGACAUGUCUUGGUUUCGCUUCUUGACUCUCUCUCAAUCUACGAUAUCAAUCUGCUUUCUCGUGGAAGUUCCAACCCUGAACGACUUCGGUUUCUUCAAGGAAUCACUAGGGUUUCGUUGGGCAGACGCUUCUAAGGAUUCGAGACGUGAUGGUCUAGAUAGAUAUUACCAAGCUCUAAGGGCAUCCGAAACCUGAAGGUUGCAGAAUCGAUCUCUACGAAGAUCUCGAAAGGUCUGAUGUGAGACUAAACUAGACGCUCGAAAGAAACUCCCGGGAAUCCUUCGGGAUAGACAUUUAGAGGGAAGAGCUGCUAACUUCCCGUUUCUCAAUAAUCACAGAAACGAGGGAUGCGUGGUAAUUCACAUUGGGAAAACUUUUGAGUUCUAAGGCAUAGAAUGAUACGAAAGUUUGAUGCCGAAGAUCACGAGAACAGGGUCGAGGAAAAAUCUAGACGAGCGACCCUUUCGAAAGUAAAGAUAACAACAUGAAUGAGACUCGGUCAUUUCUUGUUAAACAUAGCAUCAAAGUAUUUUCAUGGAAAGUUUCCCCCUUUUUAAAUCGAAUGGAACAGAAUAGUCCUCCGGACUGAGGAUUCAAUCUAUAGGUACGAAGUUAGUGUUCUCUAUCUCACUAGUUAGUCGUCUCGACGGUAUACAUUUCGAUUACAUGCGAAGGAUUGAGUUUAGAAUACGUUCGAAUAGAUAGAUAACAGGUUUCCCUUUUGCACCCAAAAUCGAAAAGAGUUGCAAGUAUAAGAAUUAUCAAAGAGAGAUAUACCUGCGGCAGCAGAGGGAUUUGUGGUUGUAGCUGUCUUGGGACAAUUCCUUUUGAAGUGCCCAGCUUCACCACAAUUGUAGCAGGCCGGACUGAUUCCCGCUCCGGAUGAUUGGUUCGUUGAUUUGGCUGGUUUUCUGCAGGUUCGAGCAAGAUGGCCCUUAUUGCCACAGUUGUCGCAGAUCCUUUCGCGACAUGGACCAGGAAUGCGGUGGUGGUAGUUACACUUACUACACCAAGGAAGGGUACCAGUGUAUCCACUGGCGGGAGUUUGGGCUGUGGAACCGACAGCUGAAACAGCAACAGGGGCAGUAGCAGCAUGGACUGCUACCGUUUGCUGUUUCUUAGAAGACCCUUGCGUACUCUGGGCCUUCCGCUUGUUCCAGGAUUUCUUUUUACUUCCGCCUCCACUAGUGACUGGCUCGGGGGUAGUAGCUUCUUCAUCAGAGUUGUCUUCGUGAUCUAUCAGGAUUUUCGCAAGGCACUUAGCACUGUCAUAUGUGUCUGGCUUCGCAGCCAAGACAUUCCCCUUUGUUGGCUGGGUCAACCCCCAGAUGAACCUCUCUAUCUUUUUACUCUCCGGGGUAACCAUUCCCGGACAAAGUAAUGCCAGAUCAUCGAAUCUUGAGGUAUAAGCAGCUAUGUCGGAACCCUUCAUCUUAAGGUUCCAAAGUUCGUGUUCUAGCUUCUGAAGUUCGCCCCGAGGGCAAUACUCUGCGAGAAGAAGCUCCUUCAUAGCUUCCCAACCCAUAGCAUUGGCUACAGGUAAAGUUAAGGAUUUGACUCGGCCAUUCCACCAAGUCAGGGCUUUGUCUAGGAAGGUACAGGCGGCAAACUUGACUCUAUCAGACUCCGAACAGCCACAUAUUUCAAAGAUUGAUUCGAUUCUCUCGAACCAUCGGGUUAAGGCAAUGACACCCCCUGUGCCAUCGAAGAAUGUCGGUUUUGCGUUCAUGAAGUCUUUAUAGGAACCCCCUUUUUGGUGUCCCUGGCUAUCAUCUGGGUUUUGGGUUUCACCUCCCGAACCCCUAGAGUUCAGUUGAGGUAAGAGAGCUGAUAUGGUAGCGGAAAUGGUUGCCUGAAGUGUUUCCAAAUCGAUCUGAAUAGGAGGUGGUGGAGGAGGAGGAUUGUUGUUGUUCGUUGAGCUGGGUCUCUUUCUUGGAGGCAUCUUGAUCUAAAAAGAUCAGGAAAGAGAGGAUCAUAAGUCCUCUGAAUUGAAUCAAGAGAUAUGGGACAGGAGAUAUCUCAUCAAGGCAAAUAUAGCAUCAUACAAAGCGAUAAAGCAGAAAGGAGUUAUCAAGAUAGAACAUUUUAUCGCUAGAGGAAUAAUCAAGGAAUAACGCGUAUACGAGAAUUUCUACAAAGGAUCGACUCGAGAAAUACUCCCAUAGUAUUUCAUGGUUCGCUGCAGCGAUGAUUCGUUGUUUGGGAUAUUAGGUAAGUUUUAGGUAUGCCGCAUGCCACAGUCACUCCCAAGCACAUGUUGGCCGUGUCUCGAAUGAAUAUAGUUGGCCAGGCUAUAUUGACCCUAGACACGACUACAUAACUGCCCAGGUUUAACCGCAGCGUACAACACCCAUUUACUUAUGUUUUGUUCUACUUAUAGUUACGGAUUUCGACGGCUCGGCAUACUUAAAUACUUUUGAAAAUACUUAUAUUUUGUAGGAUACUUUUAGUUCAGAGCACUUAGGCCCCUUAAUGUUUAUAGUUUUAUACCAUGUAAGGUUUGGUAUACUCUGUUCACUAUAAACAAGGGUUCUGAUACCAAUCAAUCACACCCCGAAAACCAAAGGCAGAAACAUUCCCGGGGUUGACUCCACAGUGAGUAUCAAAUCCAAUGUACAUAGUAAUCACAGUAAACAACCAUUAUAUUACAUAUAUAUAUGAAAGUUUACAUUUGGUUCAAAAGUAAAUUGUACAAAAGUUAUACAUAUAUCAUAUGAACAAAAGAGACGAGUCUUCAGAGCACUCCGUCUUCACCAAAAGAUAUCGCCGGGUACCUGUCUAACUUGGACCUGAGAAUACAAGCAGUUUGAAAAUCAGCAUAAAGCUGGUGAGUUCAUAAGCGGUUUUGUUUUGUGAAAAUGUAUCGGUUUCCUUUAGUUUUCUGAAAAGGUUUGAUAUCCAAGAAAAUCCCAUAUUUUCUUAUGUAAAGUAGUUAAGUUAUCUUUCGUUACAGUUCUGUUACAAGUUAUAAGUUAACCCCAGGAAAAUCCCAUAUUUUCCUAAAUGCAAGAUUGAUUGAAUAACACAUAGUAUAGUUUAAUAUACAAAACUAUAAUUUAGACGAACUGUAGAUAGAAAGUAUUUUGAAAACCUUGGGACUAACAUCCCGAACCAGUUAUAAGAUAAUUCGAUAAAGACCAUGGGAUCACUAUCCCGAAAAUAGAUAUAAGAUAGCUUGAUAAACCAUGGGAUCACUAUCCCGAAACUAGAUAUAUGAUAGAUUGAUAAAAUCAUGGGAUUAUCAUCCCGUAUAAGAUUUAGUUUCAAAACCAUGGGAUUACCAUCCCGAACGAGAUAUAGACACAAGAUCAUGGGAUUAUCAUCCCGAACGAGAUAUAGACAUAAAACCAUGGGAUUACCAUCCCGAACGAGAUAUAGAUACAAGACCAUGGGAUUAUCAUCCCGAACAAGAUUUAGAUUCUAAACAAAUCCUAGCUGUGAAUAAGUUUAUAUUAAUACGUAUUGUGAGUCGGGUAACCAUGCUGAUAUGACAACGAGACCUCCUUGACGUUAGUCAGACGUCGAAUGAUAUACAGAAUUUGUCACCCCAGGCGUGCCCGCCUAACUGUAGCUAGCAGUUAAGGUGUGGGAUUGUCAGUCCCGAAUAGAUCUAUUCACAAAUUCCUCGCUCUCCCUCCAGGAGACUCUGGUUACACUUCCGGAGAGGAUUUACUUGAUCAUCCAUAAAGGGUAGUGACUAUCUCACAAGCUAGUAUUAAACUAUUCACAGGAUUCUCAUACGAUACCAAACAUACAAAGAUUUCAAGACAUGAUACAGUGAAAAUAGUUACAUACAGGAAACUAUCUGGCAAUACAUUCAAAUGAUACGGAGAUAAACUGAAUCAGACAUAGUUUAUCAAAUAACUUUAUACAGAUAUCAGUACAUGAUAUAAAGAGAAUUAUAGAACCCCAAAUUAUUCCCAUAAUAAUUUGAUUAGUUUGGUUAUUUUCUUAACUAAAAUCCAUUUAGUUGAAAUCGAUAAAUCAUUCCUUAUGCUCAACAUAAUACAUAAGGAGUAAAAGAGUUUAUAAGUUUGCCAGAUAUUAUUUGAAACACAUAAAUGUUAUGAUUUGAAAACAGUUUUGGUUUGCUUGUAUUCCCCCCCUGAAAACAGUUAAAAACAGUGAAAAAGGCGUAGGGGUAUGAACUCACCGGACGAGAAAUGUGACGAUUUGGAUGCUAAGAGUUGAUCCGGGGCUUGUAAAUACACGAGGUUCCUAAUUAUAAUGUAAAGAUACACAUUUGUAUCUAAUUAGGACUUAGUUUAUUCAUAUGAUAGGGACACUUGCUUCAAGUCGCGAAAACACUCCGAUACGAGUGUUUGGAGGGACCCGGGUGGCGUUUAAGGACGUGAAAUGACACUAGGGACUUGGGACUUGAGUUUACUCCCCAUGAGUAAACUAAUAUAAGAGUUUUUGGUCUAAAACACCCAUUCCCCAUGAGUUUACGGCCGUAAACUCAUGGUGGGUGUGGUUUAAGGUGCUAAAUGACUUCUAACACUUAGGGGAUAAUUUCUAGACUUGGUUUAAGGACUUGAAAGGAUUUUAAAACAUAAAAUAGACCCACUUAUGGGAGUUUACGGCCUAGCAUGGCUCCAUGGCCGUAAACUCCUAUUUUUCCAAGAAAAUGAUGUUAAAUGGAGCUAGAACAAAUCACAUGUGAUUAAUAGAAUUAUUUCAAGGCCUAUUAUGAGUUUGCAAGGGACAUUUGUGGAGUUUAUGGAGCUUACGGCCCAUGAGACCCCCUCAUGGCCGUAAACUCAUUUAUANUCUUCUAUAGGGUGCUACAAGGUGUUUCAAGGUCUAAAACUUGCAUAGAAGGGCUUCUAAAAUUCAUCUAAAGGCUUUAGGGGUGUUUAGUUAGCAUUCUAACACCAUGAAUCAUGGAGUUUACGGCCCAAGAACAAGCCUUGGCCGUAAACUCUUAAAAAUCCCACAAAUAAUGUGUUUAAGGCCCUCAAACUAUUUUUGGUUGGUCCAUUGAUUUAUUCCAAGGCUUUUGGUGGUGUUGGAUGGGUUUCUAACACCUUAGAAUUGAAUUUAUGCCAAGUUUUGAGGAGUUUAAGGCCCAAGCACAUGCCUUGGCCUUAAACUCACAUAAGUCCCCCAAAUAUCAUGUUUCAAGUAUCCAAAUGCUAAAACCAAGGUUCUAUAAUUCAUAUAUAAGCCAUACUAGUGAUUUGGAAGGGUUUAAGGGCAUGAAAAACCCCAUUUACAUGAGUUUACGGCCCAAGCUUAUGCCUUGGCCGUAAACUCCUUCAAAUGACUCAAAAUCAAAGUUUUAAAUGUUCUAAGUCCAUAUCUUGAAGUCCCUUAGCCAUAUCUAAAGUCCAAAUGAGUUUAGGAAGGAGUUUAAGGGCUAAAAACCCUUCAAAUUGGUGUUUACGGCCUAGGCAGCCUCCUGGGCCGUAAACUCACAUAUGUUGUCCUAUUUCAUGAUUAAAUGUCAAAUUUGGAAGCCAAAUAUGCUAUAGAUUAAGGCUAGGAAGGUACCUUAAGGAUUUG